ACCGACCGACGGGGAUGCGAGGCCCGCGCCGCUCCUCUCCUCGCCCUGGCAAACCCUGCGCCAGGCAGGGAAACCGCAAAGUGGUGGAGAAAGAGCCCGGCAGGGACAUGGGGAAAAAGGGAGGUUUUCAGCCCAACACCAUAAGUUUUUUUUUUGAGGCCUGACUCAUGAUUUUUUUAACACGUGGGGUUGGAAAUACAGAGUUAAAAAUAGCAAGCUGGCAGGCGCAAGGCUGAGACGGAUCAUCGUUAGUAAUUAAUUAAUGGAGUCAUGGAUUUUUAAGGCCUGAAAGGGCUCAUUUUGAUCAGCCCGCCUGUCUCUUUGGCAGUGGUAUCGAGCUUUGAUUUAAGGACCCACAGUGAUGGAGAGCCCCCAGCAUCCUGCUCCAGGCAGCCUCGUCCCAGCCUCGCAUCCCCUUCCCGAGCAUCGCUGCCUCUCGCGAGGCGUCGGAGCUGUGUGGGGAAGCUGCUGCGUCCUUAAAAGCUGGAGGCUGCUACACGCCAGGUGUGAGGUGCAGAUGGGUUACAGCCACAGGUGGUGUGGGAUCUGGGGGUGCCCCCCCUUGCACCUGUGUUAUCGGCCAGACUUACACCUCGGUGGGGAUCAGGAUCCGGCCAGCACCAUGCUGCUUCUAGAGCCUCUCCCUUUCCUUCUCUCCUUGCUCCAGCUCUAACAGCCUGAAGGUGAAAUACAGCUGGAGGCUGGAGCCUCCUCUGGGGCAGCGCCUGGCCCUGCUGUGCCAUGCCGUGGGGUUUCCCUGAUUUACGCCACCGAGGGCCGGCCCCGUGCCUGGAGGGGAACGCUCACGGCCCGAGGCUGACCGGGGCUGAGCGCUCCCCCGGGGCUGCUCGAGGCAGAGGCUUCCAGCUCCUGCGAGCCCUGCGCCGGGAGCACCCCAGCUAAAAAUAACUGCAGGCACUGCGUGAUUCCCCAGCCUUUCCGGUGUUUUAAUUCCCCACCAAAACGUGUCACGCGUCCCCUCCAGGCUACGAGCUCCCAGCUGCGGCAGGACUGUGGGGCUCACCUCGGUGUCCCCCGGUCCCAUCCCGAGCAGGGGACCGCGGUGACCCGCAGUGCCCUGCACUCACCAGCACCUCCCGGGCCCUGCCAUGUCCCCACUCCUUGUUUUCUGUAACCUGCCUGUCACAUCUGCACUUUAUUCCCUGCCUCCCCUCCCUCCGCUCCUCUCCCCAGCCUUAUCUCUUGAUAGGUACAAGUGAUAAAACCAGAAACGUCCGUGUAACAAGCUGCCGGCUGCCGGGCACCCAGGAAAACACCAGCUCGGGGGGAUGAUUUAUGAAAAUAGCACGGGAGAGGGAAGCGGCGAGUUUGCCGGGAUGUAGCAGCAGCAUGCAGGUUGGAGGAAAUAACAACUGCCUGCUCCUGUCCCUGCUCACCAGGCAGCACCAGCACCUUUGAUCCCCGGCUGAUCUGUAUGCGGGGCUGUGCUGGGCAUGGGGGCGAUGCACAGCGGCGCGGCGAGGACACGGCACGCAUCGGGGGGGCCGCCGGCGCGCUGCACUGCAGAGCCCCCGACGGGCUGUCCCUCUGCGGCCAUUGAUUUCCAUGAAAUAAGCCAGCCGGGUGUGUAAUUGUGUACAGAUAGCACAGCCUCCUUUACAUGCCGUUCUGCAGGGCCCUUGCUAGCAGGAAAUGAAACUUUUCAGGCCGCUAGACAUUUAGUUCGGUUCUUGAGCUGUUAAUUCCCCUGCCCCGGCAUCGCGAGCAGGGAGGGGAGCUCUCGCACCUUGCGGGCAGGGGACAGCGGCAAUGCCACCCCAGGGGACAGCAGUUGGGACCCUCCUGCCCCUUUGUCCCCAUCCCACUGUCGGCUGUGAUUCUGCCCCCUCCGAGCACCAAGGGCCUGCGGG